GUGUGCUAAGUGCACCUUCCGGUACACUUACCUUGUUACGACUUACCUCAUCUUUAGCGGAAGAGUGAAUUAUUUAUGAGUUGCUUAGCUUGUGAGGAGGGUGACGGGCGGUAUGUACGUGCCUCAGAGCCGGCUUAAAGAGGGCUUUAUUAUCCCGCUUUACUGCUAAAUCCGCCUUUUGGAGGUUGUUUCACACCUCCUUCCGUGAAUUUUCUAGGUUAGAAAAUGUAGCCCAUUUCUUCCACUCCAUGGGCUAUACCUUGACCUGUCUUAUUAGCGGGGUUAGGGCGAUUGUGCUCACUGUAGUACUCUCAGAGGAGGUGAGCUGGCGACGGCGGUAUGUAGGCUGUUUUAGCAAGGAGUGGUCGGGUCCAUCGUGGGUUAUCGAUUAUAGAACAGGCUCCUCUAGGUGGGUUUGGGGCACCGCCAAGUCCUUAGAGUUUUAAGCGUUUGUGCUCGUAGUCCCCAGGCGGAUGCUUUAGUAGUGGAAGCAUCUAGAUUUAGGGCCAGGCAUAGUGGGGUAUCUAAUCCCAGUUUGUGCCCUGGCUUUAGUGGAGUUUAAUAGAUCGUGAAAAUUAAGGUCACCUUUAGGGUGGUUUUAAAUGUACCUUAAGCUUAUGACAGCUCAGCCACACUUUGACCUUAAAUACUGCGAUAGGCAUGGGUCCACUCUUUACGCCGUGAACAAUUAAUUUGGGUCCCUUGUGUGACCGCGGUGGCUGGCACAAGAUUUACCAACCCUGGGGGCUGCUAUGACUAAGUCAAGUUUACACUUAUUGCCUAAUGUUAACUACUGCUGAGUACCCGUGGGGGCGUGGCUGGGCUAGGCGUCUUGGGCUGCAAUGGGCGUGCCUGAUGCCGGCUCCUUUUACCUAUAGCGUAGUGAUUGAGGGCAUUUACACUGGAGCGCGGAUACUUGCAUGUAUAUGUCUAGCAGGAACUAAUUGUAAGGUUAGGACUAAGUCUUUU
rnacentral:rRNA from 1 species